UUGAAGGUGUGAUAUGGAAGCUGUUGUAAUGACAUGAAUUAGGUUAUGUACGAUUCAAAAGAAUUUUUGUAACGUAAUAAGACUUACACUUGCUUGUGUGUUGACAGAGUAGCAAAGAAAAGGUCCCACUGGGGCUAGGGAAAGGGAGUGAUGAGUGAAGUGAUGGGAUAUCAUGGCAGCAGAAGAGUUCUGAGGCUAAGUGGGUUUCUUCAUCGGAUGGUCGAUACAUUGGAGUAUCCUCUGCUGAAGAGUAGUCACUG
rnacentral:lncRNA from 1 species